CUUAACUGCGGGGUGCAGGCGAUACGGGCAUAACUUGAGUGCUGUAGGGGAGACUGGAAUUCCUGGUGUAGCGGUGGAAUGCGCAGAUAUCAGGAGGAACACCGAUGGCGAAGGCAGGUCUCUGGGCAGUAACUGACGCUGAGGAGCGAAAGCAUGGGGAGCGAACAGGAUUAGAUACCCUGGUAGUCCAUGCUGUAAACGGUGGGCGCUAGGUGUGAGUCCCUUCCACGGGGUUCGUGCCGUAGCUAACGCAUUAAGCGCCCCGCCUGGGGAGUACGGCCGCAAGGCUAAAACUCAAAGGAAUUGACGGGGGCCCGCACAAGCGGCGGAGCAUGUGGAUUAAUUCGAUGCAACGCGAAGAACCUUACCUGGGCUUGACAUACACCAGAAUCGCUGCAGAAGAUGUAGUUUCCCGUUUGGUNNGGCUGGUGUACAGGGGUGGUGGCNNAUGGUUGUCGUNNCAGCUCGUGUCGUGAC
rnacentral:rRNA from 1 species